rnacentral:lncRNA from 1 species
GAAUCGUGCACGCAUGCGCUCGAUAUGAUAUUUCCUUUCUCGCGACGUACGUCUCACCCCCUCGACACCAGCAACCCCCACCCACCUGGUUCUGGAAGACGAUGGGUGGUUUGGCGAUGGUGGUAGAGUAGCGGGCACGGCUCGACAAAGUAAGGGUGUUGCCAAGGGCAACGCUAACGAGCUCCAUGAGCGACGUCAGACAGGGCAACACACUCCCAUAGCACUAUCGCCUCUUCCCUCCCUUCCUCCUACUGAGCGUCACGACAAACCCUCCUUCUCUCUUUUUCUAUCUUCCUCUCUCUCUCUCUGUCUGUUGUCUCUCUCUCUCUCUCUUUCUACAUUCUCCACCUCCUACAAACUUGCUUAUGUAUAAAUACAUCCCCUUCCGCCGUUAGCAACCUCGAUAUGCGAUGUCGCGAUGUCGAGAAGUUCUCGGUCUACCCUUACGAAGAAAGUCCCUUUAGCAUAGAAAGCUGAGAAUAUAGUGCCCUUAUCCAUCUUUCGUCUUUAUCCACGUGAUUCUAUAUAUCCCUUCGAUUCCAACUCACCUUUCAUCUUCCUCCAUUUAUUUUCAUUUACCAUCUAAUCCAUCACGUUCUAUCCAUCCUGUUAUAUACUUUCAGAAAAACAUUUCUAUACGUUAAUACGGAUGGAUUUGAUAUCUCUUACAAACUAAUAUUAUUUAUAUUAAUAGAAUAAGAAAUUUUUCCUUAUGCUAGAGAAGACGUUUAAAAAGUUUUGUCUUUUCAGAAAGCCCUGUACAAUACGGUAAGGGAUUGCUCGGUGUGGAGGGUGAAUCACCGGGAGUUUAUUGGCCACGACAUUCUGUGGCGGAGGACUCGUCGGGGCGGGAAAGCAAUUACGUAAUCAAGUAAUUAGUCCCUGACCUCGGGUAACAGGUUCCGCCUUGCUAUUCAACCGACCUGACUUCCUCUCGAGACUCUUUUGAUUUUUUUUUCUACUUUGAUGACAUCACGAGGAUUUUAUUUUUUGCCCUCGGAAAGCUGAGAGCACGCGGGUACGAGGGUGGAAUUACGACUGGGGUUUCGAGCAUGAAGCAAGGUAGGAAAGAGAGUGGAGGGUAGGUAUGGCAGAGAGUAGAUAUGGGUGAACCUUACUUAUUGUCAUAUUUUAAUAUAACGACGGUGUAACAACGCUUCCACGAUUCAUAACGUUUAUUUCAAUGCCAGACGUUUCUUCUUUAUUUUUUUUCUUUUUUUAUCUUCCUCUUUUUUCAUCUCUAAAAAAUCAUCUAAAUAUAAUGUAAUAUAUGUUAGACAGUGUGAUAUAAUAUUGUCAAAGCUGUAAUAAUUUAUAAAUUGAUCUUAUGCAUGAAAAAAUAAAUAAUGUAAUAUUUAUCUUUA